rnacentral:rRNA from 1 species
GGCUGAAACUCGCCUAUAUGAAGUUGGAAUUGCUAGUGAUCGCAGAUCAGCAUGCUGCGGUGAAUACGUUCCCGGGCCUUGUACACACCGCCCGUCACACCAUGAGAGUCGAUAACACCCGAAGCCUGUAGUCUAACCAUAAGGAGGACGCAGUCGAAGGUGGGAUUGAUAAUUAGGGUGAAGUCGUAACAAGGUACC